UACGUAGGUGACCAGCGUUGUCCGGAUUUACUGGGCGUAAAGAGCGCGCAGGCGGUCGUUCAAGUCGAGUGUGAAAGCCCCCGGCUCAACUGGGGAGGGUCAUUCGAUACUGAUCGACUGGAAGGCAGGAGAGGGAAGCGGAAUUCCCGGUGUAGUGGUGAAAUGCGUAGAUAUCGGGAGGAACACCAGUGGCGAAGGCGGCUUCCUGGCCUGUUCUUGACGCUGAGGCGCGAAAGCCAGGGGAGCGAACGGG
rnacentral:rRNA from 1 species